rnacentral:rRNA from 1 species
ACCAUGCAGUCGAGCGGUACCAAAGAGCUUGCUCCGGUUGACGAGCGGCGGACAGGUGAGUAAUGUCUGGGAAACUGCCUGAUGGAGGGGGAUAUCUACUGGAAACGGUAUCUAAUACCGCAUAACGUCUCAAGACCAAAAAGGGGGACCUUCUGGCCUCUUGCCAUCUCAUGUGCCCCCAUGGGAUUUUCUAUUAUGUGGGGUAACGGCUCUCCUAUGCGACAAUCCCUAUCUGGUCUGAGAGGAUGACCCCCCCCACUGGAACUGAGACACGGUCCCCACUCCUACGGGAGGCGCCAGUGGGGAAUAUUGCGCAAUGGGCGCAAGCCUGAUGCACCCAUGCCCCGUGUAUGAAAAAAGCCUUCUGGUUGUAAAGUACUUUCUCCGGGGAGGAAAGCGUUGUGGUUAAUAACCCCACCGAUUGACGUUACCCGCACAAAAAACACCGGCUAACUCCGUGCCACCACCCGCGGUAAUACAGAGGGUGCGAGCGUUAAUCUCAAUUACUGUGCGUAUAGCGCACGCACGCGGUCUGUCAAGUCUGAUGUGUAAUCUCCGGGCUCACCCUGUGAACUGCGUUCUAAACUGUCACGCUAUAGUCUUGUAUAGGGGGGUAUAAUUCUACGUGUAUCGCUGAAAUGCGUAUAGAUCUGGAGGAAUAC